UACGAAGGGUGCAAGCGUUGUUCGGAUUUAUUGGGCGUAAAGCGCGCGCAGGCGGCUUUGUAAGUCAGAUGUGAAAUCUCGGGGCUUAACCUCGAAACAGCGUCUGAAACUGCAAAACUAGAAUAUCGGAGGGGGCAGGGGAAUUUCUCGUGUAGGGGUAAAAUCCGUAGAUAUGAGAAGGAACACCGGUGGCGAAAGCGCCUGCCUGGACGAUUAUUGACGCUGAGGCGCGAAAGCGUGGGGAGCAAACAGG
rnacentral:rRNA from 1 species